AUGGACGAACAGGAGGCAUUGAACUCAAUCACGAAGGAUCUGGUGGCCCUCCAGAUGAGCUGACGUCCCCGGGUGCCUGGAUAUGACACCAUGAAGAGCAAAGACACGGGUCACCCAAAUAGGCAGAGUGACGUCAGAAUCAAGUUUGAGCACAACGGGGAGAGGUGAAUUAUAGCGUUCAGCCGGCCUGUAAGAUAUGAAGAUGUGGAGCACAAGGUGACGACAGUGUUUGGGCAAUCUCUUGAACUACAUUACAUGAACAAUGAGCUCUCCAUCCUGCUGAAGAACCAAGAUGAUCUUGAAAAGGCAAUUGAUAUUUUCGAUAGAAGCUCAAGCAUGAAAAGCCUUAGGAUAUUGCUGCUGUCCCAGGACAGAAACCAUACCAGUUCCUCUCCCCACUCCGGGGUGUCCAGGCAGGUGCGAAUCAAAGCUUCCCGGUCUGUGGGAGAUGUAAAUACCAUCUACCAGCCCCCCGAGCCCAGCAGCAGGCACCUCUCUGUCAGCUCCCAGAACCCCGGCCGAAGCUCGCCUCCCCCUGGCUACGUCCCUGAGCGGCGGAUUGCCCGGCAAGGGUCCUACACCAGCAUCAACAGCGAGGGGGAGUUCAUCCCAGAGACCAGCGAGCAGUGCAUGCUGGAUCCCCUGAGCAGUGCUGAAAAUUCCUUGUCGGGAAGCUGCCAAUCCUUGGACAGGUCAGCAGACCGCCCAUCCUUCCGGAAAUCGCGAAUGUCCCGAGCCCUGAGCUUCCCAGACAACAGACAGGAAUUCUCUGAUCGGGAAAGUCAGCUCUAUGACAAAGGGGUCAAAGGUGGAACCGACCCCCGGCGCUACCACGUGUCCGUGCACCACAAGGACUACAACGACGGCAGAAGAACGUUUCCCCAAAUACGGCAUCAUCAAGGCAACCUGUUCACCCUGGUGCCCUCCAGCCGCUCCCUGAGCACAAAUGGCGAGAACAUGGGUCUGGCGGUGCAGUACCUGGACCCCUGAGGGCGCCUCCGGAGUGCAGACAGCGAGAACGCCCUCUCUGUGCAGGAGAGGAACGUGCCAACCAAGUCUCCCAGUGCCCCCAUCAACUGGCACCGGGGGAAGCUCCUGGGCCAGGUGCCUUUGGCAGGGUCUAUUUGUGCUAUGACGUGGACACAGGACGAGAACUUGCUUCCAAGCAGGUCCAGUUUGACCCAGACAGUCCUGAGACAAGUAAGGAGGUGAGUGCUCUGGAGUGUGAGAUCCAGUUGCUGAAGAACUUGCAGCACGAGCGCAUAGUACAGUAUUACGGCUGCCUGCGGGACCGUGCUGAGAAGACUCUGACCAUCUUCAUGGAGUACAUGCCGGGGGGCUCCGUGAAAGACCAGUUAAAGGCCUACGGAGCUCUGACAGAGAGUGUGACCCGAAAAUACACCCGGCAGAUCCUGGAGGGCAUGUCCUACCUGCACAGCAACAUGAUCGUUCACCGGGACAUCAAGGGAGCCAACAUCCUCCGAGACUCUGCUGGGAAUGUGAAGCUGGGGGACUUUGGGGCCAGCAAGCGCCUGCAGACCAUCUGCAUGUCAGGCACGGGCAUGCGCUCAGUCACUGGCACGCCCUACUGGAUGAGCCCUGAGGUGAUCAGCGGUGAGGGCUACGGAAGGAAGGCAGACGUGUGGAGCCUGGGCUGCACUGUGGUGGAGAUGUUGACAGAGAAACCACCUUGGGCAGAGUAUGAAGCCAUGGCCGCCAUUUUCAAGACUGCCACCCAGCCCACCAAUCCUCAGCUGCCCUCCCACAUCUCUGAGCACGGCCGGGACUUCCUGAGGCGCAUUUUUGUGGAGGCCUGCCAGAGACCUUCGGCGGAGGAGCUGCUCACACACCACUUUGCACAGCUCGUGUACUGAGCUCUCAAGGCCACGUGUUGCCGGCUGCCCCUGCUGCACGGGCGAGGGGCUGCUGUGGGGCUCAGCAAAGUUGCUGCUUCUCCCAGGCAAGGCUGUGGACCACAGAGCUGCAGUCUGGCCAGCGUUGUCUGUGGCCUUCCGCUGCUGGGGCUCAGAGCCAGGUAGGGUGGCUGCAGCCUCACGGACUGGGAGCCCCCAGCCUGCCAGACCCGAAGCUCCAAGGUCCUAAGCUCAGCCUGGAGGGGAAGGUGCUAGGAACAAUGUGCGAGGCACCGUGGGCCCCACCCUUGGGGCUGUGUCCUGACACUGCAGUCAACACGAGACCCCAGAGAGGCUGGGGGCACAGGAUGGACAUGAGGGUCUGAAUAGUGUUACUUUCAUUCAGAGUGUUAUUUUGUUUCUCCUCCCCAUGUCUGGAGACCACCAGGGCAUCUCUGGGUUGGAUGAGCCCACCAAAGCCGGAGGUAAAGCCCAGCAUCCCACAGCCAAUGGAAAGCAGAGGCCUGGGCUGCACUCUCCCUGGAGCCCCAGGCCAGCUUUGCCAGUCCCUGUCCUUUACCAAAGAUGAGUGAAGCAAAUGUUAUGCUGCCUUAUUCAGGGAAGGAGGAGCCUGUCCUGCCCGCCCUGUGACCCUGACCCCUCCCACCCUCAAGCAGGGGCCUGAGAUGUGGAACUGCCCCCACUGAGGGGGAGACCCAGUUUUGUCAAUGCAGUUGUCUCUGUUUUACAAGCUGGAGUCACUCUUAUGCUGUACCCAGUUCCAGACUGGAGACUGUGUGCCCCCUGGGCUCUGAGUCCCCCUGCUGUGGGCUUGGGCCUUGGGCCAGAUUGGAAAGAGCUGAAGGUCGUAGCCUUUGUGCUCCUGGCCUGGCACGGGUUCCCCCCGGAGCAGAAAGGAAGAUGGACAACACAGUGAAGGCAUCUGAGCUGACAUUCAGGAUGGCCAGGGGAGUUGUAUCAGGCUCUCUGUGGGUCGUGACCUGCUAGACCACAGCUCUCUGUGAUGCCACCAACUGUGUCCAAAACUGCCAGCUCUGUUCCUCCUUGGCCAGCCUUGCUCAUCCCCGUGAGGCCUCAGCCUCUUUCCCUUCUCGCUCCUCUAGGGGAGGAAUGGCAGCAGGGGUCAGGGAGCCAGUAUCUCCAAGCAGCUUAGAGUUGGCCUUAUUUACCUCAGCCUGGGCGCUGGUCCUUUCUUCCGGCCCCUCCCCUCCAAAAUGUGCCUAUUGCUAGAGCUCCUCCCUCUCAACACCCAGUUUCCUUGGGAGUUGUCAUUAAAGGAAAAAA